UGUCUGUCUGCCACCAGGGCUGUUGCCCAAGAGGAACCAUUAGCAGACCUCUCUGCCACUUUCUCAGCUCUCACUGGGAAGGACAGAUGACGUGCUGGCUGACGUGCAGGUGGCGUGAGUGUUAAUUCAUCCUGAUGGGGGAGUGAGCCAGCGAGAGCCUGAGAGCAGUGCUCUUCAGGCCUCUUCACUGCUGCUCUUUGCUCUGACAGACACAAGCACAUUUCUUGGAAAGAAGACUCUGGUUGAGCCAUUUACCUGCCAAUCAAACAGAAAGGCUCAAACCACCCCAGCGCCCCCCACCGUGCCACCCACCCAAGGGAUAGCAUGCUUUCACAGCCUCAGCUCUUCAUGCUCUGUGGGUCUCCAGAUGAACCCUGCCGCAUGUGUGUUGAUGUAGGAUCAUUUGAGCAUGUCGGCGCACAGCGAGUACACCACGUCUAUAAGGGGCCACAGUUAAGUUUACACUAAUUAAUGGGGCUGAACUUUUCAAGGCAAUGCAUAGCUUUCAAAGCAGUAGGACACAAUUCUAAAUUUAAAUCGUAGAUGCAGCAGGGUUAUUUACAGCUGGGAACAUUAUCCAACACAUUCUCAUUUUGCUGAAUCCAAAUGAAAACUGCCACCUGAGUGCACAGAUUGGGAGAUGCUUGUUUCUUUCCUUUAUAAAUAUAUAUGCAAAAUUUCAUUAAAGCAAAAGUAAUAUCAGCAGAAUACACUUUAAAAUGUGCAUUACAGUCCCUUUCGGUGUUAUACUAUAAUAUAUGUAUUCUCUUUCAUUAGUAAUGCAAUAAGGAUUUUAAUUUUAGAAUUGGUUCAGGUGCAGUUUAACUGCUUUAUAUACUUACAGGUAGUUAUAUAUAACUUAAUAUAUGAAUAAGUUAAUAUUGGAACCCAGCACAUACUGUACAUUUGUUGGUUGAUGUCAUCAGACAAUUAGGUUAUCACAGAUUUAUUAGCAUUGGCACAAAUGUUGACAAGUAAGUAACAACAAACUGUACGUAAAUGCCGGAGCAGUUAUUCAGAAUCAGUGUUAUCAUUGAUAGUUUGUCCAUCAGAGAGCACUGGCAAGGUCUUUGGUAAACAAACAUAAAGGACUAGUAUUAAAUAUAUAUAUAUCAACAAAUAAUUGUUGAUACAUUAUAUUUACUCUGAAAUAUCAAUAUUCUUAUCAGCCUCAACAAAAUCAGUCGUUAGUAACUUGCUGUAAAAUAAAUAGAGUGGAUUCAAAAGUAGAAUAUAAAGUACCAUAAAAUUAAGUUAUUGCUUUAUAUUAGUGUUUCUGCAUAAAUGCUGCAUUUCUUUUCAUGGUUUUGGACAGCUCUUUGGUUGUUUUAACGUGCCAUUUAGGUUGUGUCUGGGAUGAAAUCUGUUGAAAUGUAAGGUUCUAAAUUUCCUUUUAAUUCUAAUUUGACAUAUCUUGGGUUAUCUGCCUUAUGCUUGUCUGUUCCUCAUCGUUAUUGCUGCCUAUCUUGUCCAUGACACUUUUAAAAAAGAUGUCUGUGAGGUUUUUCUAGUUAAUAAAAGCUUAUUGUAUUAUAUGAGUAAAUGUACUUUUCCACCGCUAUAUAUACAUACUGUGUUUAUAUAUACACACAUAUAUGAAAGGCAGACACACAUAUAGAAAGAUAUUGUGACAUUUCACAAUGGCAGUCUAAUCUGAGCUAACGCUCUUAAACAAUGUAGCACCUGAUUGUUGGCUUAUCCCGGGGCCUGUGGUUACUGAGGCCUGUCGUCCAACCGGUGCUCUGCUCUCUUGGGGCUUUAGUGAAGCACUACAGCUGGGAAGGGAAAGGGGAAUUGCCUCUGAGAGGGGUGGAGUGCACAGCAAUGUAGGGGUGCUGAAAUUUGUGCUCUCAUAAGAGUCUCUCCUUCUCCCCUUCUCAGCAGGGCCCUGUUGCCACCUCCCCCUCAGCCUGUCUUCCCCCCCUGCUCCUGCCACAUGACAGAGGAGCCGCCGGAGCAGCUGGGGUUAGGGAUACUUGUCAGCAGGGCGAUCGUGUGUCCUCUGAGUCUGUCCCCUGUCUGUCCCAUAGCCACGUCGACUGACAGCCAGCAUCAGCUGAUUAUCGCCACUGUGGCAGUAAAAGAAACCCACUUUGGCAGUGACAGGCUUAUGACCUGCAAGACAUGCUCAUAUUGAGUAACCAGCACUUCAUCUGGAGGCUCAGGCUGUGUUACCCUAGCCUUGAGAACACACUACUGGGCAGAUAGUCUGACACAUUAGCAAUCUGUUUAAGGUUAAAGGAUCAAAUCAUAGCCACGGUCAUAAAUUGCAUCUGUUACCCUUACAAGAUGUUUAUGUGUUUGUACUCUGUAAUUGAACUUUAUUGCUUUCUGGAUACACAGAGCAGAGAGAUUGUGCCAGGCUAAAUGUGAUUCUAAUCAUAUCUAAGAAAUACAUGUCUAAUAGAUCAUUAACCAAACGGUUUAGUCAUCAUUAAACUGGUGCUUUGCCAUGUUUGAAUAAGUUAUAUUGCUGACCAAGUGUGGAAACGACAGCAUAUGAGCAAGGCACUCAGAAAAGUUAUUUUAAUCCCUCCUGACCAGUCGUGCUUGGUGUUUGUGUAUUUUGAGAAUCUCUGAGAGGUUAACACCCCUUGUGCUCAGAGGCUCAGACAGACUACUGGUGUCUGGUAUCAAGCUGAAUUAAAGCUAUGUCAACACAUUCAGUCAGCCAGGCUUACAUUACAGAGGCCCCCCAUUCGUCUCUUAUCUGAGGCACAGACAUAAAGUCAGCUACACUGCGUGCACACACACACACACACACACACAAACACACAUAAAAUAUUCCACUGUUUCCCGUGUUUAUUCUCUAAAUAUAUUUUUGUGUUGAAAUUUAAAUGAGUUUGGAAAUCUUUCUAUUGUUUGCCGUGAGGACAUGUUUGCCUUGUUUACAAUGCACAAAGAUUAGAAAGCACUGAAAGAUAUUAUUUAUUGAUGGAAUCAAAUUAAAAGUCUCAUUCUUGUACCCAAAAGCAUCAGCAUGGAAUUAAAUUAUUAAGAAUAAGUUUUUGGGGUUGUGUGCUGGCUGAAGUAUUGUUCUGGAGUGGCAGACUGAAUGUGUUAUUGUGUCACCAGCCUCGGGCCCUCAUGCUGCAGACUAACAGUAACUGACUAGCUCUGGCUUAUGCUGUUAUGUAAAGAAGCCCCGGUCCGAUGGGAGAGGCAGACUGCUGCCUGCCCGCCUGGUAAAGUCAGCAUGAAUGAGGCAACGUUGAUGUUGUCCUCAGACUCCUGUUGUUCUGUUGAUUGCCUGUGUGUGCGGCUUGUUAGGCUGCUGAAAGCAUUGUGUUUAGCCCCAGAGAUGGUGGCUUGAAGGUGACAUCUGUCUGGGAGGUAGAGUGGAGAGGAGAGGGAGAGUGCUGCGCCAUGCUGCUAUAAAUACGCAGCGGCCGUGACAGCUCACAGAGGAAGCAGCUGAGAAGAGGAGCUUUGCUAUGCUGCAUACCUCCUAGUGACCCUGUCACUUCCACAGAGGUCUUAAUUAUUCUUCACUGGCAGCUCCCCUCGGCUCUCUGCUGAAGCUGUGACACACAGGGGCUUGUCAGAGGAAAGGGCCACACUGUUCUCUCUAACGUACUGCACCCACAGAACAUGUAAACAGAAGUUUGGUUUAGUGUAUAAACACAGUAGUCCCUAUUCAAAUCUGUCAUUUAGGUUUUAAAUUAGUAUGCCCUUGUGUACUUCAGCACACUUUUUUUUGCCGCCUGAUGCUAUUUAUCCUGCGAUUAUUUUGUACUUACUCCUGAGACUGCAUGCUGACACACAUAGUUUGCCAUCUUUUGGCUCACA